CGGAAGCACGUGACCUCCACAUUGCCGUAAACACGCAUGGAUACCGUGGAAGUCUUGCAAGUUGAUCGCAAAGAUGCACACAUCAAUCUGGAAUUCGGGCUUAAAGCCAGAAUUGCAGGAAUGCAACACGUGUUGCAGAGGACUCUUUCACUGCCCUCUGUGCCCCACUUUCAGCCCUACUGUCAGGGCAAAGAUUGAGGAGCAUCUAAGUGUGCAUAUAAAAAAUGCUUUGCCUUUCAAAGAUAAAAUGAUAUGCCGGUGCAGGCUGCCUUGUAGGACAACAGGACACUUUCACCGCCCUGUCUGUAAGAUUACAAUCAUACGGCGUGGGGAUAUGGCAAGGCAUUUAUUGUCUUGUCAGCAUUCUUCAAUGCCAAGUCAGCCACCAUUAUAAGGACUGCUCCCCGCUGAACUCUCCGAGGAGACCCGUAUUCCUCCGGCAGUACUCUUCGAGGAGCCCCGUCUCCCCCCCAAGCUCUGGCAAGCUAUUUGCACACUGGAGAGAGGAAGCCAAAGCUGUGCUUGAAGGACAACACGUGCCCAUUUUCAGACUGAAAAAGCGCAAGUUCCAGGAAGUCAGUCAGGAGCCAGCAGUUGUUGAAGAUCUGCGUCCUGCUGUGCAGUGGGUUGUCCAAAAUAAGGCACUUUUCCGUGGACACGUAACAAUGCCCAAAUAUCUGUCCUUAAAUCAAGAGGACCAGCAGAGGGUCUUAAGAGACAUGUCAGAGGAAGAAGACACUGGAGCAAGGGACUUGUUCCUCUUUGUUUUUCAGUUUGCAGAGGACAUGGAGCUCUUUUUGAAAGCAUGUGCUGAUGAGCAGGGGCUAAGGGUCAGUGCUAUGUUUGACAUGUAAUGGACAAAUGAAGGCACUGGCUGUGUUUGUUUGUUUGUUUAAUAUGUUGUUGUUGUUGUUGUUUUUUUUUGUUUUGCGUUUUGCGUAGUACAAAAUUCCAAUUAAACUUAUUUCAAAAUGUUGUUCACUUUAUUCUGUGUCCAUACUUAUAAUAAAGGAUUACAGUGUAACAGCAUUAAAUGUAAAUGUAACAGCAUUUUUUUUAAACUUGUAAUUUCAAAAUAAAAAGCUUAUUGUUGAUAUUAACAGUAAA